GCCUGGGUGGCGGAAUUGGCAUACGCGUGCGCCUCAAGAGCGCAUGGCCGCAAGGCCUUGUGGGUUCAACUCCCACCCCAGGCACCA
rnacentral:tRNA from 1 species